rnacentral:RNase_P_RNA from 1 species
UGAGUAAGCCAGAUGGUCGCGGACACGCAGGUGUCUGAGGAAAGUCCGGGCUCCAUAGGGCAGGGUGCCGGGUAAUACCCGGUGGGGGCGACCCCAAGGAUAGUGCCACAGAAAUGUGUACCGCCUUUUGGGAAGUGAGAAGUGAGAGGUUGGAAGUGUUUGCAGACAUAUACCGCCAACUCUUAGCUUUCACUUCUCAAGGGGUAAGGGUGGAACGGUGCGGUAAGAGCGCACCAGCGGUCAGGUAACUGGCCGGCUAGGUAAACCCCACCUGGAGCAAGACCGAAUAGGGGAACGAUGGAGCGGCCCGCUCUGUUCCCGGGUUGGUCGCUAGAGGCGCCGGGCGACCGGCGUCCCAGAUAGAUGACCAUUCACGACAGAACCCGGCUUAUAGGCUUACUCACGAA